ACGGAAGGCAGCAGUGAGGAAUAUUGGUCAAUGGACGCAAGUCUGAACCAGCCAUGCCGCGUGCAGGAAUAAGGCCCUAUGGGUCGUAAACUGCUUUUGUGGUGGAGCAAUAAGUCGUACGUGUACGGCGAUGAGAGUACAUCACGAAUAAGCAUCGGCUAACUCCGUGCCAGCAGCCGCGGUAAUACGGAGGAUGCAAGCGUUAUCCGGAUUUAUUGGGUUUAAAGGGUGCGUAGGCUGUGGUCCAAGUCAGGGGUGAAAGCCCGGAGCUCAACUCCGGAACUGCCUUUGAUACUGGAUUGCUGGAAUACGGAUGCCGUGGGAGGAAUGAGUAGUGUAGCGGUGAAAUGCAUAGAUAUUACUCAGAACACCGAUUGCGAAGGCAGCUCACGAAUCCGUCAUUGACGCUGAGGCACGAAAGCGUGGGGAUCAAACAGGAUUAGAUACCCUGGUA
rnacentral:rRNA from 1 species